GGACACAUAGCCCAAAUGGCAAGGCCCCACCUUUCUAGCGGAUGAACGCGGGUUCGAUUCCCGCUGUGUCAA
rnacentral:tRNA from 1 species